CCUACGGGUGGCUGCAGUGGGGAAUAUUGGACAAUGGGCGCAAGCCUGACCCAGCAACGCCGCGUGAAGGAAGAAGGCUUUCGGGUUGUAAACUUCUUUUCUCAGGGACGAAGCAAGUGACGGUACCUUAGUAAUAAGCCACGGCUAACUACGUGCCAGCAGCCGCGGUAAUACGUAGGUGGCAAGCGUUAUCCGGAUUUACUGGGUGUAAAGGGCGUGGAGGCGGGAAUGCAAGUGAGAUGUGAAAACCAUGGGCUCAACCUGUGGCCUGCAUUUGAUACUGGUUUUCUUGAGUACUGGAGAGGCAGACGGAAUUCCUAGUGUAGCGGUGAAAUGCGUAGAUAUUAGGAAGAACACCAGUGGCGAAGGCAGUCUGCUGGGCAGCAACUGACGCUGAGGCACGAAAGCGUGGGGAGCAAACAGGAUUAGAUACCCUUGUAGUC
rnacentral:rRNA from 1 species